rnacentral:lncRNA from 1 species
AAGAGCUCCUGCUACCCUAACUUGGAAGAACUGGAGCAGCAAAUAGAAUAAAAGAACAAUGAUAGUAAUGGAUGAUAACACAAUGAAUUGCCUAAAAAAAUCCACAGUCCAUGGUGAUACUCAAAAGAAAGAGGGAAAAAGAGAGAUCUGAUAGAAAUGUCAACUAAUAAAUGUGAAAGGAAUGAUAAUAUUAGAAAAUGAUCAUUUUGAGAUCACAUUUCACAUCACAUCAAAGCUGUGGAAUUUCCUCUCUUCUAGGGGGAGCCUUGUGAAGAUAAAUUUGGUUUAAGCUGGUGGAAGCCAUGGAUGUGGAACCCACAGAGAUGGAGGGCCGACUGUAUAAACAAUUAUUUUACCGAGUUUCCUAUGAAGAUGAACAAGGGAACUGACUUGUCAAAGCGCACACCAAUGAGUAGAGGCAGAACUGGAAUCAGAAUCCGAGACCUCUCUUGCACCACCCAGCACAUGAGGGCUCUCUCCAUGGGCAUAAUCCUCCCUACCUCCUACUUACCUGCCCUGUGCUGUGGGUAAUAGAUGAAUCGCAGUGGUCCCUAACUUUUUUGGCACCAGGGACCAGUUUCAUGGAAGACUAUUUUUUCACGGAUCAAGGGAGAACAGAGAGGGGCGGGGAUGGUUUCAGGAUGAUUUCAGCACACUACAUUUAUCAUUAGAUUCUCCUAAGGACUGUGCAACCUGAGCAUGAUGAUUGGGUAUUCACGUGCAUGUGUGAGAUCUGCCACCCUUGAACCUUGUUAUGACGUUAGCACAUUACCCAUCUGACACGAAAAAAAGAAGAAGAAAGAAAAAAAAAGAGGAGUGCGCAACCUAGAUCCCUCGCAUGCGCAGUUCACAAUAAGGUUUGCGCUGUAUGAGAAUCUAAUGCCACUGCUGAUCUAACAGGAGGCGGAGCUCAGGCGGUAAUGCUUGCUUGCCCGCCACUCAACUCCUGCUGUGCAGCCCGGUUCCUAACAGGCCACAGACCAGUACCGUGGGGACCCCAGGUCUAGUGGACUCCAAGAAAGACAUUGGAAGAAGGAAAUGGAGAAAUGAGCAGACUUCAGAAUAGUAUCAACAAGCCAUGCAGUUAGAUAAUGUGAAAGUCUACUGGUGAGUCUAAGGGAUCUCCCUAGAUGUAUUUAAGAGUAACCGAAUCAUUAUAAGGAAAGCUGUAAACUGGCAAAUUGGACUGAGAAAAAUCUGCCAAAAUGCAGAAAGAGGAUAGUAUAAAUCCAAGUGCAAACAGAAGGGCACAGAUCAUUCUGGAAUGUAGGUUCCUGGUUGCAAGUAUUCCAUCAAGCUUUGUUUCCUGAUUUGGAGUUUGGAAACAUAGUCCCUCUAAGCUUAGAUGGAGUUGAAUGCAGCAUGAGGACUGGACAGUGAGUUUCCAAAAGGGAGAGAGCACAAAAAAAAGAGGCACAAACAAGUUGAUCCCGUGACGGAGCCAAAUACCAGAUUUUGCCUUGACCUCCAGGAAACUUGUGAAACCACUACCUUCUCUUUCCUCUAAUUCCAUUCAUUUCACAACAUCCUCUGGGCUUUUGUGUGAAACACUGUGCUUGGUGUUACAGGGAUGGAGGGUAACACGGUGUUGGGGGUGGUAACGAGGUGUUGGGGUGAUAUACAGAAUAAAUAAACUGAAGGAGGUUCUGCCCUCAAAUUUUAGUCUUAUAGUAAGAAGCGAUUCACACACUGGGCUGUGAUUUCAUGCCCACUGCUCAGUCUCCUGAUUGCUCAUCCUGCUUCUCAGCUUAGUCCUGGACAGAUGGAGUGUAUAAUAUGGGGUAGUCUGUGUCCAUAGUCACUCAAAGAUAACUCCUGACUGUGGAUUCAAAAAUAUGCAUUAUAAACUUUUUUUAAUGACCAUUUUGGAA